rnacentral:rRNA from 1 species
UAGGGAAUAUUGCACAAUGGGCGAAAGCCUGAUGCAGCAACGCCGCGUGCACGAUGAAGGCCUUCGGGUCGUAAAGUGCUUUUCGGGGAGAUGAGAAAGGACAGUAUCCCCGGAAUAAGGAUCGGCUAACUACGUGCCAGCAGCCGCGGUAAAACGUAGGAUCCGAGCGUUAUCCGAAUUUACUGGGCGUAAAGCGCGUGUAGGCGGUUCGGUAAGUUGGAUGUGAAAUCUCCUGGCUCAACUGGGAGAGGUCGUUCAAUACUGUCGGACUAGAGGGUGGUAGAGGGAGGUGGAAUUCCCGGUGUAGUGGUGAAAUGCGUAGAUAUCGGGGGGAACACCAGUGGCGAAAGCGGCCUCCUAGACCGCUCCUGACGCUCAGACGCGAAAGCUAGGGGAGCGAACGGGAUUAGAAACCCCGGUAGUCCUAGCUGUAAACGAUGUGAACUUGGCGUUGGUGGGGUAAAAGCCAUCAGUGCCGAAGCUAACGCGAUAAGUUCACCGCCUGGGGACUACGGCCGACG